ACCGUCGCGAGGCGGGGUUUGAAGGAAGCGUGGAGCAAAUGCGCGAGUCGAUGGACAAAAACCGGAUACAAGGCGUGAGCGUAGGGCGAGCGGGCAACUUACCGCGAAGCCCAUAUCCAUUAAGUACGCGGAGCGUAGAUCCGGCGACUGUGCGCAGAAGGCGAUUGAGC
rfam:Acidobacterium capsulatum ATCC 51196, complete genome.